rnacentral:rRNA from 1 species
AUUGAACGCUGGCGGCAUGCCUUACACAUGCAAGUCGAACGGCAGCAUGGAGAGCUUGCUCUCUGAUGGCGAGUGGCGAACGGGUGAGUAAUGCAUCGGAACGUACCGUGUAAUGGGGGAUAACGUAGCGAAAGUUACGCCAAUACCGCAUACGACCUGAGGGUGAAAGCAGGGGAUCGCAAGACCUUGCGUUAUACGAGCGGCCGAUGUCAGAUUAGCUGGUUGGUGAGGUAAAGGCUCACCAAGGCGACGAUCUGUAGCGGGUCUGAGAGGAUGAUCCGCCACACUGGGACUGAGACACGGCCCAGACUCCUACGGGAGGCAGCAGUGGGGAAUUUUGGACAAUGGGGGCAACCCUGAUCCAGCCAUGCCGCGUGAGUGAAGGAGGCCUUCGGGUUGUAAAGCUCUUUCGGCCGGGAAGAAAUCGCACAGGCUAAUACUCUGUGUGGAUGACGGUACCGGCAUAAGAAGCACCGGCUAACUACGUGCCAGCCGCCGCCGUAA